rnacentral:misc_RNA from 1 species
UCUUGAUUUGGGAUUGUUGUCCUUUUUUUUUCUCUUAAUAUUUCAAUUUAUUUGCUUCCACCAAAGUUUAUUUCAAUACUGAGUCAAGCCAGGAAGUUCCACAACCACCAAGAAAAGCUAAACAAACCUUACAAGACAAUAGGAAAAACUCCGUAACCACUAAAACCUUUCAAAGCCAUGCAAGGUCUAAAAAAAGGACAACAAUCCCAAAUCAAGA